UGAGGUAGUAGAUUGAAUAGUUGUGGAGCCAUAUUCUCCCUCUGAGCUAACUAUACAAUCUACUGUCUUUC
rnacentral:pre_miRNA from 1 species